rnacentral:rRNA from 1 species
GUGUGUACAAGGAGCAGGGACGUAUUCACCGCGCGCUAAUGACACGCGAUUACUAGGGAUUCCAUGUUCACGAGAAUGGGUUACAACCCUCGAUCCCAACUACGGCAGGCUUUCGAGAUUGCCUUCCCCUUACGAGGUUCGGAACCCAUUGUACCUGCCCAUUGCACUCGCGUGGUACCCCCGGGAAAUUCGGGGCAUAUGAACCUGGCCGUGGCCCGCUCUCUUCCUCCACUUUAUCAGGGGCGGUUCCUCCACAGUGUGCCCCAGCUCAAAGCUAUUGUUUUUCCAACAGUGGAUGCGGGGUUUUCCAAAAAUCGUUGCC